rnacentral:rRNA from 1 species
UGAAAAGUGAGCGGAUGAACUGAGGGUAGCGGAGAAAUUCCAAUCGAACUUGGAGAUAGCUGGUUCUCUCCGAAAUAGCUUUAGGGCUAGCCUCAAGUGAUGAUUAUUGGAGGUAGAGCACUGUUUGGACGAGGGGCCCCUCUCGGGUUACCGAAUUCAGACAAACUCCGAAUGCCAAUUAAUUUAACUUGGGAGUCAGAACAUGGGUGAUAAGGUCCGUGUUCGAAAGGGAAACAGCCCAGACCACCAGCUAAGGUCCCAAAAUAUAUGUUAAGUGGAAAAGGAUGUGGCGUUGCCCAGACAACUAGGAUGUUGGCUUAGAAGCAGCCAUCAUUUAAAGAGUGCGUAAUAGCUCACUAGUCGAGUGACACUGCGCCGAAAAUGUACCGGGGCUAAACAUAUUACCGAAGCUGUGGAUUGUCCUUUGGACAAUGGUAGGAGAGCGUUCUAAGGGCGUCGAAGCAUGAUCGCAAGGACAUGUGGAGCGCUUAGAAGUGAGAAUGCCG